rnacentral:rRNA from 1 species
UACGAAGGGGGCUAGCGUUGCUCGGAAUCACUGGGCGUAAAGCGCACGUAGGCGGAUUGUUAAGUCAGGGGUGAAAUCCCGGAGCUCAACUCCAGAACUGCCUUUGAUACUGGCGAUCUUGAGUCCGGGAGAGGUGAGUGGAACUCCGAGUGUAGAGGUGAAAUUCGUAGAUAUUCGCAAGAACACCAGUGGCGAAGGCGGCUCACUGGCCCGAUACUGACGCUGAGGCACGAAAGCGUGGGGAGCAAACAGGAUAGAU